rnacentral:rRNA from 1 species
AUUGAACGCUGGCGGCAUGCCUUACACAUGCAAGUCGAACGGUAACGCGGGGCAACCUGGCGACGAGUGGCGAACGGGUGAGUAAUGUAUCGGAACGUGCCCAGUAGUGGGGGAUAGCCCGGCGAAAGCCGGAUUAAUACCGCAUACGACCUGAGGGUGAAAGCGGGGGAUCGCAAGACCUCGCGCUAUUGGAGCGGCCGAUAUCGGAUUAGCUAGUUGGUGGGGUAAAGGCCUACCAAGGCGACGAUCUGUAGCUGGUCUGAGAGGACGACCAGCCACACUGGGACUGAGACACGGCCCAGACUCCUACGGGAGGCAGCAGUGGGGAAUUUUGGACAAUGGGCGAAAGCCUGAUCCAGCCAUGCCGCGUGCGGGAAGAAGGCCUUCGGGUUGUAAACCGCUUUUGUCAGGGAAGAAAAGGCUCGAACUAAUACUUUGGGCUCAUGACGGUACCUGAAGAAUAAGCACCGGCUAACUACGUGCCAGCCGCCGCGGUAAAAC